rnacentral:rRNA from 1 species
GCGGCGGACGGGUGAGUAACACGUGGGUAACCUGCCUGUAAGACUGGGAUAACUCCGGGAAACCGGGGCUAAUACCGGAUGGUUGUUUGAACCGCAUGGUUCAAACAUAAAAGGUGGCUUCGGCUACCACUUACAGAUGGACCCGCGGCGCAUUAGCUAGUUGGUGAGGUAACGGCUCACCAAGGCAACGAUGCGUAGCCGACCUGAGAGGGUGAUCGGCCACACUGGGACUGAGACACGGCCCAGACUCCUACGGGAGGCAGCAGUAGGGAAUCUUCCGCAAUGGACGAAAGUCUGACGGAGCAACGCCGCGUGAGUGAUGAAGGUUUUCGGAUCGUAAAGCUCUGUUGUUAGGGAAGAACAAGUACCGUUCGAAUAGGGCGGUACCUUGACGGUACCUAACCAGAAAGCCACGGCUAACUACGUGCCAGCAGCCGCGGUAAUACGUAGGUGGCAAGCGUUGUCCGGAAUUAUUGGGCGUAAAGGGCUCGCAGGCGGUUUCUUAAGUCUGAUGUGAAAGCCCCCGGCUCAACCGGGGAGGGUCAUUGGAAACUGGGGAACUUGAGUGCAGAAGAGGAGAGUGGAAUUCCACGUGUAGCGGUGAAAU